rnacentral:rRNA from 1 species
GACGUGCGGGAAAUUAGUGCAAGGUGGUGCAGCGUGGUCGUCAGCUCGUGUCGUGAGUUGGUGGGUUAAGUCAAGCAACGUGCGCGACCCUUGUCUUUAGUUGCCAGCAUUAAGUGGGGCACUCUAGAGAGACUGCCAGGGAUAACCGGGAGGAAGGUGGGGAUGACGUCAAAUCAUCAUGCCCCUUAUGCUUAGGGCUACACACGUGCUACAAUGGGUAGUACAGAGGGUUGCCAAGCCGUAAGGUGGAGCUAAUCCCUUAAAGCUAUUCUCAGUUCGGAUUGUAGGCUGAAACUCGCCUCCAUGAAGCUGGAGUUACUAGUAAUCGCAGGUCAGAAUGCUGCGGUGAAUGCGUUCCCGGGUCUUGUACACACCGCCCGUCACACCACGGGAGUUGGAGACGCCCGAAGCCGAUUAUCUAACCUUUUGGAAGAAGUCGUCGAAGGUGGAAUCAAUA